rnacentral:tRNA from 1 species
UGGCCGGUAGCCAAGUGGUAAGGCAGCGGUCUCUGAAUCCGUCAUUCGUAGGUUCGAUCCCUACCCGGCCAG